AUUCCAGCUCCAGUAGCGUAUAUUAAUGUUGUUGCAGUUAAAAAGCUCGUAGUUGGAUUUCUGACUUGACGCGCCUGGCCCGCCUUGCAUUUCGCGGGUGAGUGCCGGAGCGCGUCGGUCAUCCUUCUAGAGAACGGCGCUACCCUUCACUGGGUCGGCGUCGCAAUCUAGAUCUUUUACUUUGAAAAAAUUAGAGUGUUCAAGGCAGGCUCGCGCUGUGAAUACAUUAGCAUGGAAUAAUAAUCUAGGACUUUGUUCCUAUUUUGUUGGUUUCUAGGAAUUAAGUAAUGAUUGAUAGGGAUAGUUGGGGGCAUUAGUACUUAACUGUCAGAGGUGAAAUUCUCCGAUUUGUUAAAGACUAACUUAUGCGAAAGCAUUUGCCAAGGAUGUUUUCAUUG
rnacentral:rRNA from 1 species